AGAGUUUGAUCCUGGCUCAGAGCGAACGCUGGCGGCGUGCUUAACACAUGCAAGUCGAGUGCGCGCCUGUAGCAAUACAGGUGGCGCACGGCGCACGGGUGCGUAACACGUGGGCAAUCUGCCCUCGGAUGGGGGAUAACCCCGCGAAAGCGGGGCUAAUACCGCAUGACAUUCCGGAGACUCCGGUCUCUGGACUCAAAGGCCGCAAGGCCGUCUGAGGAGGAGCCCGCGCCCGAUUAGCUUGUUGGCGGGGUAACGGCCCACCAAGGCUUUGAUCGGUAGCCGGUCUGAGAGGAUGGCCGGCCACACUGGAACUGAGACACGGUCCAGACUCCUACGGGAGGCAGCAGUGGGGAAUAUUGCGCAAUGGGCGAAAGCCUGACGCAGCGACGCCGCGUGGGGGAUGAAGCUUCUCGGAGUGUAAACCCCUUUCGACCCGGACGAAUGACCCGCAAGGGUUUGACGGUACGGGUAUAAGAAGCCCCGGCUAACUACGUGCCAGCAGCCGCGGUAAUACGUAGGGGGCCAGCGUUGCUCGGAAUUACUGGGCGUAAAGGGUUCGUAGGUGGUGCGGCAAGUUGGAAGUGAAAUCUCUGGGCUUAACCCAGAGGCUGCUUUCAAACUGCCGUGCUCGAGUGCGGGAGAGGCCAGUGGAAUUGCAGGUGUAGCGGUGAAAUGCGUAGAUAUCUGCAGGAACACCCGUGGCGAAGGCGGCUGGCUGGACCGCAACUGACACUGAGGACGAAAGCUAGGGGAGCGAACAGGAUUAGAUACCCUGGUAGUCCUAGCCCUAAACCAUCAGACUUGGGGUGGCCCGCGUAGCGGUCGUCCCGUAGCUAACGCGAUAAGUCCUGCGCUGGGGAG
rnacentral:rRNA from 1 species